UACGUAGGGGGCAAGCGUUGUUCGGAAUUACUGGGCGUAAAGCGUGCGCAGGCGGUGAUGUAAGACAGAUGUGAAAUCCCCGGGCUCAACCUGGGAACUGCAUUUGUGACUGCACGGCUGGAGUGCGGCAGAGGGGGAUGGAAUUCCGCGUGUAGCGGUGAAAUGCGUAGAUAUGCGGAGGAACACCGAUGGCGAAGGCAAUCCCCUGGGCCUGCACUGACGCUCAUGCACGAAAGCGUGGGGAGCAAACAGG
rnacentral:rRNA from 1 species